UACGAAGGGGGCUAGCGUUGCUCGGAAUCACUGGGCGUAAAGGGUGCGUAGGCGGGUCUUUAAGUCAGGGGUGAAAUCCUGGAGCUCAACUCCAGAACUGCCUUUGAUACUGGAGAGCUUGAGUUCGGGAGAGGUGAGUGGAACUGCGAGUGUAGAGGUGAAAUUCGUAGAUAUUCGCAAGAACACCAGUGGCGAAGGCGGCUCACUGGCCCGAUACUGACGCUGAUGCACGAAAGCGUGGGGAGCAAACAGG
rnacentral:rRNA from 1 species